rnacentral:rRNA from 1 species
UUGCAUGCGCUGCUAUACAUGCAGUCGAGCGGACAGAAGGGAGCUUGCUCCCGGAAGUCAGCGGCGGACGGGUGAGUAACACGUAUGUAACCUGCCCCUUACACUGGGAUAACUCCGGGAAACCGGAGCUAAUACGGGAUAAUAAAGAGAAUCACCUGAUUCUCUUUUGAAAGACGGUUUCGGCUGUCACUAACGGAUGGGCCUGCGGCGCAUUAGCUAGUUGGUAAGGUAACGGCUUACCAAGGCGACCAUGCGUAGCCGACCUGAAAGGGUGAUCGGCCACACUGGGACUGAGACACGGCCCGACUCCUACGGGAGGCAGCAGUAGGGAAUCUUCCGCAAUGGACGAAAGUCUGACGGAACAACGCCCCGUGAGUGAGGAAGGCCUUCCGGUCGUAAAGCUCUGUUGUGAGGGAAGAACAAGUACCGGCGUAACUACCGGUACCUUGACGGGACCUCACCCGAAAGCCACGGCUAACUACGUGCCAGCAGCCGCGGUAAUACGUAUGUGGCAAGCGUUGUCCGGAAUUAUUGGGCGUAAAGCGCGCGCAGGCGGCUUCUUAAGUCUGAUGUGAAAUCUCGGGGCUCAACCCCGAACGGCCAUUGGAAACUGGGAAGCUUGAGUGCAGAAGAAGAGAGUGGAAUUCCACGUGUACCGGUGAAAUGCGUAAAUAUGUGGAGGAACACCAGUGGCUAAGGCGACUCUCUGGUCUGUAACUGACGCUGAAGCGCGAAAGCGUGGGGAGCAAACAGGAUUAGAUACCCUGGUAGUCCACGCCGUAAACGAUGAGUGCUACGUGUUAGGGGUUUCGAUGCCCGUACUGCCGAAGUACACACAUUAAGCACUCCCCCUGGGGAGUACCGCCGCGACGCUGAAACUCCCAGGAAUUGACGGGGACCUCCCACGAGCAGUGGAGCAUGUGGCUUUAAGUCCGAGCAGCGCGCAGUACCUUACCAGUCCUUGACAUCCCUUUGACGACUCUUGUAGACGAGCUGCCCCGUUCGUGGGCAAGUGACACGUGAUGACAUGGUGUCAGUCAGCUCAUGUCCUGAAACGCUGGGUCAGUCCCGCACGAGUCGCACCUGAUCUAGUAGCCAGCAU